rnacentral:lncRNA from 1 species
AGCCGUUGACUGAGUUGACCGUCGCGAAACAGCGUCCUUUCUCAGCAAGCCUUGCCAGCCGAACCCGAAUUUAUUUACCUUCACGGCAAUACACCAUGUACGUUUUGAAUGCCUGCAAUCGGGUUUCGGCCUCGCCCUGGGCCUGCUAAGAAAUUCACAACUCCCCGCGAGAAUGCUGGCCGUGCACUCAAUUAAAUAUGCUCAUGCAAGUAAGCUGAUUACAUGCAUAUUUGAGGAGCGGGGCGGGGCCAUUCCUCCAGGAAAUGGGGAACUCCUACCACAACCUCCUACAAUGUACGGAAUGGCCCAUCGCCGCGGGCAGCUUGCACUUAAGCUUGCCGGCCGGCGCGCACAGAUUCACCUUCAGGCAAGCACUCGCAGCCGCUCCAUCUGUAGCGUCGACCUUUCAGAACCACUCCAAAACAAUGGCCACUAUCUCGUCGAUGCGCGUUGGCGCUGCUUCCCGCGUGGUCGUCUCUGGCCGCGUGAAGGUGAGGCACUUGAUCGCACUUCUUCUUCAGUAGUGUCAAGGCGGCAGGUUCAUGGCGCGGCUUGAUAGGCGACCAGAGCGACUUGCAAGCUUGGCCUCGGCGCAAAUGCCGUUACACGACCGCGCUUGCUUGGCUUCGCGCGCCGAGCAGCGCAGCUGCAUGGCAAUGGUUGUUAUGAUCAUAGUCUCCACCACGCCUUGCUCUUCAGCCUUUCUGAUGCGACUGUUACUGUCCUUCGCGCGCCCUUGCAGACCGUGAAGGUCGCCGCCCGCGGCAGCUGGCGCGAGUCUUCCACUGCCACCGUGCAGGCCAGGUGAGCACACUUCUGCAGCUAUGAGAUGCAUCUGGGUCCAGCUUAAAGCGGCUCGCGUUGUGUGGCGCGCCGCGAUCCCUUAUCCGCUCGCCUGCCAGCCGGGCCUUUUCGCACUUGUUUCCUAAGUCAAGUUCGAACCUGCAGCUGGCUGUGCAUAUCUUGCUAAGUGAUAGCGCGGUUGUACGCGGUUUGAGUACGCUGCUCAACUGGUGUACUGACACGUUUGCUUGCCGUUUCCCCUGGUGCCCCUUCGCCCCUGCAGCCGCGCCUCGUCGGCCACCAACCGCGUGAGCCCCACCCGCUCCGUCCUGCCCGCCAACUGGCGCCAGGAGCUGGAGAGCCUGCGCAACGGCAACGGCUCCUCCUCGGCUGCCUCGUCGGCCCCCGCCCCGGCCCGCUCCUCGUCGGCCAGCUGGCGCGACGCCGCCCCGGCCUCGUCGGCCCCUGCCCGCUCCAGCUCUGCCUCCAAGAAGGCCGUGACCCCGUCGCGCAGCGCCCUGCCCUCCAACUGGAAGCAGGAGCUGGAGAGCCUGCGCAGCAGCUCCCCCGCCCCCGCCUCGUCGGCCCCCGCCCCGGCCCGCUCCUCGUCGGCCAGCUGGCGUGAUGCCGCCCCGGCCUCGUCGGCCCCCGCCCGCUCCAGCUCCUCCAAGAAGGCUGUGACCCCGUCGCGCAGCGCCCUGCCCUCCAACUGGAAGCAGGAGCUGGAGAGCCUGCGCAGCAGCUCCCCCGCCCCCGCCUCGUCGGCCCCUGCCCCGGCCCGCUCCUCGUCGGCCAGCUGGCGUGACGCCGCCCCGGCCUCGUCGGCCCCUGCCCGCUCCAGCUCUGCCUCCAAGAAGGCCGUGACCCCGUCGCGCAGCGCCCUGCCCUCCAACUGGAAGCAGGAGCUGGAGAGCCUGCGCAGCAACUCCCCUGCCCCCGCCUCGUCGGCCCCUGCCCCGGCCCGCUCCUCGUCGGCCAGCUGGCGUGACGCCCCCGCCUCGAGCUCCAGCUCGAGCGCCGACAAGGCCGGCACCAACCCCUGGACUGGCAAGUCCAAGCCCGAGAUCAAGCGCACCGCCCUGCCCGCUGACUGGCGC